rnacentral:tRNA from 1 species
UUUUUAAAUAAUUAAUAAAAUUUUAGUUAAUGAGCUUGAAAUAAGCAUAU